UUGUUAUUCGAAGGUUUUGUAUAAUUUCGACAGAAGCCGCUUCUCUGCAUAUUGUUUUAUUAACAUAUCCGAUUUUCAUGGAGUAUUUCCUUGUUUCAGGUCUCCGGUUAAUCUCUUUUUUUUACAUUUCAAGUUGAGACGUCUGAUUUCUUAUGAUUCUAUUUGAUUUCAUGCCGUCUUCAUUUAUUCUAUAUCAUCUAUAUCUCAACUCAACUGAUCCCGUAACCAUCUUGGCAUUCUAUAUCAUAUAUGUCAAAACUUCUCAUCCUAUCUCAUCUCAGCUGAUCCCAUAACUGUUCUGUAUCAAUUUAUUCUAUAUCAUCUAUGUAUGUCAAAACUUCUCAUCCUAUCACAUGUCAACUUAUCCAAUAACCAUCUAUAACUACUAUGUUAAAACAUGUCAUCUUAUCUCAUCUCAACUGACCCCAUAACUAUACUGCCUAAAUUUAUUCUAUAUCAUCUAAGUCAUCAAAUCCUAUCUCAUUUCAACUGAUUCCAUAACCAUCUUGGCAACCUAUAUCAUCUAUGUCAAAACUUCUCAUCUCAACUGACCAUCCUGUCUAAAUUUAUACAUAUCAUCGAUGUCAAAACAUCUCGUUCUAUCUCAUCUUAACAGGUCCCAUAACCAUCCUGUCUAGAUCCUAUCUCCAGUUUACUGUAUGUAUGUAUGUGAUUGGCGUUGCAACCGUUUAGCCGGUUAUAGCCGAAUCGACGAUAGUGCGCCACCUGUCUCUCUCCUUCGCAGUUCGGCGCCAGUUGGAGAUCCCAAGUGUAACCAGGUCGCUCUCCACCUGGUCCCUCCAACGGAGUGGAGGCCUUCCUCUUCCUCGGCUUCCUCCGGCGGGUACUGCAUCGAACACUUUCAGGGCUGGAGUGUUUUCGUCCAUUCGGACAACAUGACCUAGCCAUUGUAGCCGCUGUCUUUUUAUUCGCUGAACUAUGUCAAUGUCGUCGUAUAACUCGUACAGCUCAUCGUUCCAUUGUCUGCGGUAUUCGCCGUAGCCAAUGUUCUGAGGACCAUAAAUCUUGCGCAAAAUUUUCCUCUCGAAAACUCCUAGUGUCGUCUCAUCGGAUGUUGACAUCGUCCAAGCUUCUGCACCGUAAAGCAGGACGGGAAUGAUAAGCGACUUGUAGAGCUUGAUUUUGGUUCGUCGAGAGAGGACUUUACUGUUCAAUUGCCUACUCAGUCCAAAGUAACAACUGUUCUCCGGUCUACUAAUCUGAUAUAUUUUCAUAACAUUUAAUCUUGUAACAGCUCAUCUCACGUCAACGUCAACGUCAACGCCUUUCGCCUUAUCUCUUUCUAUCUCAUUAUUCGCAUCGUUCGACUGAAUUAAGGUCCUACGUGUGGCAACAAAUUAGUAUUUAAUAUAUUACUUCUAGGAAUUCAUUUUGUUUAGGAUUUAGUAAGGUCCGAUUUCAUCGAUUUAUCAUAUCGAGGAUCUAUCAACUAGGACACAUUAUACUUGCUUCACUAAAUCACUAUAACAAUAAACAACAAGCAAUACAUUGAAAUAAGUUUCACUUGAAAAUCACAUUUUCCAAUCAUAUCAAAAUUUUCGUCAGAAAGAAAGGCCGCAAAAAAUUUUUCGUUUGUAACUUUUUGUUUCGCUGGAAUUUCUAAACUAAGUUCUUUAAGAAAUCGUGCGAAGAUGUGCUAUCCCUGCUGCAGUCCAUACUCCUGCUGCUCGCCCUGUUGUGGGCCAUGCAGACCAUGCGGACCGUGUGGCCCUUGCGGCCCAUGUGGUCCCUGCAACCCAUGCGUACCGUGUGGACCGAGUGGAUCGUAUGGCUCAUGUCUUGAUUGUCGUAAACCCUGUGGUGAAUCAAAUAUAUGCCGACCCACGGGAUGUUUCUAUUUCGGGUGAUAACCAUCGACGUGUACACGAGUUAUAGAAAGUGUGUUUGCCAGCCAUAUGCGUCUAGUGCGUCCAUUGUUGUUGCCGGCAAUGUGUGCUGCAAACACCGAACGUUUUGAAAUUUCGCAAUAAUAAAUGUUACAUAAAAAUCGAAUACGAGAAAACACACAUUGUGCUUCGUGAAGUUAAUGUGUUGUAAACACGAAAAUUGGCCAAUAAACAUGCACACGUUUUGACAUCAAAAAAAAU